rnacentral:rRNA from 1 species
AAACCAACAGGGAUUGCCUUAGUAGCGGCGAGUGAAGCGGCAAAAGCUCAAAUUUGAAAUCUGGCUCUUUCAGAGUCCGAGUUGUAAUUUGAAGAAGGUAUCUUUGGGCCUGGCUCUUGUCUAUGUUUCUUGGAACAGAACGUCACAGAGGGUGAGAAUCCCGUGCGAUGAGAUGACCCAGGUCUAUGUAAAGUUCCUUCGAAGAGUCGAGUUGUUUGGGAAUGCAGCUCUAAGUGGGUGGUAAAUUCCAUCUAAAGCUAAAUAUUGGCGAGAGACCGAUAGCGAACAAGUACAGUGAUGGAAAGAUGAAAAGAACUUUGAAAAGAGAGUGAAAAAGUACGUGAAAUUGUUGAAAGGGAAGGGCUUGAGAUCAGACUUGGUAUUUUGCAUGUUACUUCUUCGGGGGUGGCCUCUACAGUUUACCGGGCCAGCAUCAGUUUGAGCGGUAGGAGAAUUGCAUUGGAACGUGGCACGGCAUUUAUGUUGUGUGUUAUAGCCUUUGUAGAUACUGCCAGCUUAAAAUGAGGACUGCGGUUUUAUACCUAGGAUGUUGGCAUAAUGAUCUUAAGUCGC